CCUACGGGAGGCUGCAGUGGGGGAUAUUGGACAAUGGGGGAAACCCUGAUCCAGCGACGCCGCGUGAGUGAAGAAGUAUUUCGGUAUGUAAAGCUCUAUCAGCAGGGAAGAAAGAAAUGACGGUACCUGAGUAAGAAGCCCCGGCUAACUACGUGCCAGCAGCCGCGGGAAUACGUAGGGGGCAAGCGUUAUCCGGAAUUACUGGGUGUAAAGGGAGCGUAGACGGUAAUGCAAGUCUGGAGUGAAAGGCGGGGGCCCAACCCCCGGACUGCUCUGGAAACUGUGUAACUGGAGUGCAGGAGAGGCAGGCGGAAUUCCUAGUGUAGCGGUGAAAUGCGUAGAUAUUAGGAGGAACACCAGUGGCGAAGGCGGCCUGCUGGACUGUAACUGACGUUGAGGCUCGAAAGCGUGGGGAGCAAACAGGAUUAGAUACCCCUGUAGUC
rnacentral:rRNA from 1 species